AGCUUAAAAUAUGACACGUCAAAGGCAAGAGAAGAAAGAAAAGGCAGUGAGCACAUGUGCAGAGUGAAGAGACAGCAAUAAAGGAGGAUCUGGAGAAACUCGAUGCCCCCAAGUAAAGCAUUUAUCACCAUUUGCAUAAGGAAAAGUGAGUGCUAGUCCAUCGACUUUAUAAAGAGUAACAAAUAAUGUAGAUGACAAGGAUUCUUCAGGAGACAAAACACUGUGCUUAAUUUCACCUGCACUGAAGGAGACCGUGUCCGGGACCCGCUCAGCCGCUGAGUUCUCUCUAUGAAUCGAGGGGAAACCAGACUCCUGUGCCAGUUGCCAUCCUGAUAACACCUGUCCUGCCCGCUUUCCAAGGUUAUAAGGAGGAGCUAACUUAAGAAGCUACUUUGAAAAGUAUAAUAAAAGUAUGAGGAAACUGACAACCACUUGAUCAAGGUCACACAACUUACAAAUUGUAGAGAUGGAGCCAAGAUAAAGAUUAACAUCAUCUUCAUGUGUAUACAAUGCUCAGGAACCUGACUGCCUGAUACAGAAAGAUAUUUAUUUCUAUAAGAAGUAGAUGAGGUGCUCUGGCCAACAGAGCAUGACCACACAUACACUUAAUACAUUAUCUGAACCACAAAACUAUCUGAAUAUCCACUUCUAAGUUUCAAGGACUUUGGCCUAUGUUCCAUGGGAUGUUGUUAUGGUUAGAAAAAUAAAA